CCUACGGGUGGCAGCAGUGAGGAAUAUUGGUCAAUGGGCGCGAGCCUGAACCAGCCAAGUAGCGUGAAGGAUGACUGCCCUACGGGUUGUAAACUUCUUUUAUAAAGGAAUAAAGUGAGGCACGUGUGCCUUUUUGUAUGUACUUUAUGAAUAAGGAUCGGCUAACGCCGUGCCAGCAGCCGCGGUAAUACGGAGGAUCCGAGCGUUAUCCGGAUUUAGUGGGUUUAAAGGGAGCGUGUAUGGGUUGCUAAGUCAGUUGUGAAAGUUUGCGGCUCAACCGUAAAAUUGCAAUUGAUACUGGCAGUCUUGAGUACAGUUGAGGUAGGCUGAAUUCGUGGUGUAGCGGUGAAAUGCUCAGAUAUCACGAAGAACUCCGAGUGCGAAGGCAGCUUACUAAACUGCCACUGACAUUGAUGCUCGAAAGUGUGGGUAUCAAACAGGAUUAGAUACCCGAGUAGUC
rnacentral:rRNA from 1 species